rnacentral:rRNA from 1 species
UACGGAGGAUGCAAGCGUUAUCCGGAUUCAUUGGGUUUAAGGGGUGCGUAGGCGGGCUAUUAAGUCAGUGGUGAAAUCCUGCAGCUUAACUGCAGAACUGCCGUUGAUACUGAUAGUCUUGAGUUUGGUUAAGGUAGGCGGAAUGUGUAGUGUAGCGGUGAAAUGCUUAGAUAUUACACAGAACACCAAUUGCGUAGGCAGCUUACUGAGCCGACACUGACGCUGAGGCACGAAAGCGUGGGGAUCAAACAGGA